rnacentral:rRNA from 1 species
UACGAAGGGGGCUAGCGUUGCUCGGAAUCACUGGGCGUAAAGCGCACGUAGGCGGAUUGUUAAGUCAGGGGUGAAAUCCCGGGGCUCAACCCCGGAACUGCCUUUGAUACUGGGUAUCUCGAGUCCGGAAGAGGUGAGUGGAAUUCCGAGUGUAGAGGUGAAAUUCGUAGAUAUUCGGAGGAACACCAGUGGCGAAGGCGGCUCACUGGUCCGGUACUGACGCUGAGGUGCGAAAGCGUGGGGAGCAAACAGG